rnacentral:sRNA from 1 species
UCUCUUUGACUGUUUUUGAUUUGAAUAUGGUUCAUAUCACUUUAAAACAUGAUUUUAGUAACUAAUACUCAUAGGGGAAGCGAGAAAACUGAUGUUAAGCCUUGCGAGGUUUUGAUUGGCUUUUCGGGCAAUGAAUGUCUACCGGGACAUCGCAACAGUUGUCACAAGCUCGAUGGGAGUUUCGAGUCGUGACAUUUUAUGAUUUACUUAAGCAUCUAAGCUCACCUAAGGAACACUUGAAAACUCUACGGAUAACGCUGAAAAAAAGUUGUGAUUAGAGCUAGAAAUCAACUCUCCAAUUAGGGUGCAAGUGACGACUUCAUUCCUAUAAUGCAUCAUAAAAUGCCCAAGGUGUAAUAGGGAUAUAUGUUGCCAGCCUAAGGUGUAAUGGGGAUAUACGUUGCUAGUCCAAGGUUGAUGGGGGUCAAACCAUGACAAUGUAUGAGUUU